GGACAAGCUGUGAAUGGUCAGAACAGACUAGAAGCUGUGCAUAACCUUUGAGGAGGAGUCAAGGGACGAAAAAUGAAGCAGCAGCAGAGGCUGUGCAGAGGGAGCUGAAUCCUGAAGAAUGACAACUCAAGCAUGUGGGGGAGGGGUA